CGGAUCAGGUAGGAAUACCCGCUGAACUUAAGCAUAUCA
rnacentral:rRNA from 1 species